rnacentral:rRNA from 1 species
UACGAAGGGGGCUAGCGUUGUUCGGAAUUACUGGGCGUAAAGCGCGUGUAGGCGGGCCGUUAAGUCGGGGGUGAAAGCCCAGAGCUCAACUCUGGAACUGCCUUCGAUACUGGCGGCCUGGAGCAUGAUAGAGGCGAGUGGAAGUGCGGGUGUAGAGGUGAAAUUCGUAGAUAUUCGCAGGAACACCAGUGGCGAAGGCGACUCGCUGGAUCAUUGCUGACGCUGAGACGCGACAGCGUGGGGAGCAAACAGG